GGGGAGGCCAGUCACUUCCGGAGCCGGUUCCGAUCCGCGCCGAGCGCCCUGCUUUCGCCGACGCGGACCUCGGGGUGCGGUUGUGCCCGGCUCCACGCGCGCGCGGGCGAUGCGGGGCCGGGGGACGUCCUGGCGCAGGUUUAACAAAGGGACUGGAGACUGAUGCAUGAGGGGCCCACGGAGGCGCAGGAGCGGUGGUGAGGGUGUGGGAAGCGGAGCUGAAGUGCGCUGGACUUUGGGGAGGACUGACAGUUUAUCCUGACUGUGUUCAGGCAGGAAAACGUGGAUGAUUACUAUGACACCGGCGAGGAACUUGGCAGGUUUCAGCACAUUCUGUAACUGAAGACUCUUUCUUCCAUUGGUCAAGGCUUGGAUAGCCUCAGCUGUCUAUCCCAGGCACUCCCUAGCCUUAUGGAACUAGAAUCACAAAGCGCUUUCCAUAGAGUUCUGGAGGACGGUAAUAUAAAUGGCAGCCUCCUGGUCUCCAGCCCGGAGGAACCGAGAUCCCACAACUCAGUGCACCCCCAGAGAACAGCGCCCAGUUACUCCCGUCUACCUGACCUCCAGCCACGCUCCGAGCUCACUGAGCCUGCGACCGGUUCAAGAUAACAUGAUUCUUUAUAUGGAAAACCCAAAAGACUCCACCCCCAAACUACUAGAACCCAUACAGCAAUUCAGUAAUGUGGCAGGAUACAAAGUCAAUGUAUAGAAAUCAGUGGCUUUCUUAUACACUAACAAUGAAAAUACAGAAAGGGAAAUUAGAGAAUCAAUUCCAUUUACUAUAGCACCAAGAACCAUAAGACACCUGGGAAUAAACCUAACCAAAGAGGUAAAGGAUCUGUACUCAAGGAACUACAGAAAACUCAUGAAAGAAAUUGAAGAAGACACAAAAAGAUGGAAGACCAUUCCAUGCUCUUAGAUCGGAAGAAUAAACAUUGUUAAAAUGUCUAUACUGCCUAGAGCAAUCUAGACUUUUAAUGCUAUUCUGAUCAAAAUUCCACCAGUAUUCUUCAAAGAGCUGGAGCAAAUAAUCCUAAAAUUUGUAUGGAAUCAGAUGAGACCCUGAAUCGCUAAGGAAAUGUUGAAAGACAAAAAUAAAACUGGGGACAUCACGUUACCUGAUUUCAAGCUUUACUACAAAGCUGUGAUCACCAAGACAGCAUGGUACUGGCAUAAAAGCAGACACAUAGACCAGUGGAACAGAGUACAGUGCCCAGAUAUGGACCCUCAACUCUUUGGUCAAAUAAUCUUCGACAAAACAGGAAAAAAUAUACAGUGGAAAAAAGACAGUCUCUUCAAUAAGUGGUGCUGGGAAAACUGGACAGAUAUAUGUAGAAGAAUGAAACUCGACCAUUCUCUUACACCGUACACAAAGAUAAACUCAAAAUGGAUAAAAGACCUCAGUGUGAGACAGGAAUCCAUCAGAAUCCUAGAGGAGAACGUAGGCAGUAAUCUCUUCGAUAUCAGCCACAGCAACUUCUUUCAAGAUAUGUCUCCAAAGGCAAAGGAAACCAAAGCGAAUAUAAACUUUUGGGACUUCAUCAAAAUCAAAAGUUUCUGCACAGCAAAGAAAAUAGUCAAGAAAACAAAGAGGCAACCCAUUUGCCAAGAAAUUAGACACUGUCUUUUAAAACAGGUUAAUGUCUUUUGUUUCAUUCUUUGCUCCUAUGGCCAUAGACCUGUCAGCAGUAAAUCCAAGGGACCUGAAAACGUUUUCAUAUUUCCCCUCCCAGUAGCCCUAGAUGAAAUUACACAUGCUAAUCUUGCUAAGCUUUUUCAUCAGCUCCUGAAGUUUCUACAAAAGCAUGUUGCUGACCAAGAAACUGGGUCAGACAAUUGUUUUGCAAUAAAGAUGAUCUUUUGAAGUGUCUCAGCAGCUGCUUACCUUGAACAGGAGUCCUGUGGAUCAUGCUCUUCAGAAAUUGAGCCUCAGGCCUCUCCUACUUUAAUAACAAUAAAAAAUUGCCCUUUUUUCCCCACCUGCCUUUGGGCUUUCUGAUUGAUGAAUCUAUUCACUUAAACAGAGAAUUUAAAAAAUUUCUUUAAAAAAUACAACCACUUUCUGAAAUAUAUUUGCAAAGCUUGAAACUCUAUGAAGUGAGUACAUAAGAAAUACUGCCAUUGCCACAGGACACCCACCACUGACUUGGGCAUAAUCUCUAAGAGGCAGUUUGAUUGUGAUUUGAACAAGACUUGAGCUUUCAAAAAUCAGAGCUAUUUUCCAAGCCUUGGGAUUUCCCACCCACCCCCAAUGGUGGCAUUUUCUCCCUUAAUUCCCUAGUCAGGAAAGAAAUAAGUUGUGGUUUUAUUUUUAUAUCAACUGACACCAUUAGCAUAUUCUUAGUGAAAUUUGUAUAGUUCGUCAGAUCAGAUACCCUUUAACGGGGACAAGAAUUAUGAAUCAAUGAAAGAAGCUGUCACCGGCUAUGUUGCCUUGAUAUUAAUAGCAUGAACAGUCAAUGUUGGAAGUAUCUGGGGCGCAUUUGCCAUUAAACCCAUCUUGUCUUUCAAGAAUGAGAUAGAGGAGGGAGACUGGGAAGAAGAGUCCCCAGGUCAAGCAGUUUCACUCAGGUCACGCAACCAGAUUGAUAAGACAUCAUCAUAGAUUGUCUACAGUAAAUUGUCUGAGAGCAUUUUUGUGCUGAGAGGUUUUUAUGUUUUUAAAUAGUUGAAAAAAAUCCAAAGAAGAAUAUUCUUGUGUGAAACGUGAAAAUUAUAUAAAAUCCAGAUUUCAGUGUUUAUAAAUAAAGCUUUAUUAGAAUACC